rnacentral:pre_miRNA from 1 species
AGUGCCCUACAUCUACCCUGUAGAUCCGAAUUUGUUUGAAGUGAGGCGACAAAUUCGGUUCUAGAGAGGUUUGUGUGGUGCAUG